UGAAGAGCGCAGCCAACCGUGUGAAUUAAUGCGAACUGCAUACUGCUUUGAACAUCGACAUCUUGAACGCAUAUUGCGGCCACGGGUUAGCCUGUGGCCACGCCUGUCCGAGGGUC
rnacentral:rRNA from 1 species